ensembl:misc_RNA Metazoa_SRP Metazoan signal recognition particle RNA
GCUGGGUGUGGUGGCUCACACCUGUAAUCCCAGCACUUUGGGAGGCUGAGAUGGGUGGAUCACCUGAGGUCAGGAGUUCGAGGCCAGCCUGGCCAAAACGGUGAAACCCCGUCUCUA